GCCUAAUACAUGCAAGUCGAACGAACUCUGGUAUUGAUUGGUGCUUGCAUCAUGAUUUACAUUUGAGUGAGUGGCGAACUGGUGAGUAACACGUGGGAAACCUGCCCAGAAGCGGGGGAUAACACCUGGAAACAGAUGCUAAUACCGCAUAACAACUUGGACCGCAUGGUCCGAGCUUGAAAGAUGGCUUCGGCUAUCACUUUUGGAUGGUCCCGCGGCGUAUUAGCUAGAUGGUGGGGUAACGGCUCACCAUGGCAAUGAUACGUAGCCGACCUGAGAGGGUAAUCGGCCACAUUGGGACUGAGACACGGCCCAAACUCCUACGGGAGGCAGCAGUAGGGAAUCUUCCACAAUGGACGAAAGUCUGAUGGAGCAACGCCGCGUGAGUGAAGAAGGGUUUCGGCUCGUAAAACUCUGUUGUUAAAGAAGAACAUAUCUGAGAGUAACUGUUCAGGUAUUGACGGUAUUUAACCAGAAAGCCACGGCUAACUACGUGCCAGCAGCCGCGGUAAUACGUAGGUGGCAAGCGUUGUCCGGAUUUAUUGGGCGUAAAGCGAGCGCAGGCGGUUUUUUAAGUCUGAUGUGAAAGCCUUCGGCUCAACCGAAGAAGUGCAUCGGAAACUGGGAAACUUGAGUGCAGAAGAGGACAGUGGAACUCCAUGUGUAGCGGUGAAAU
rnacentral:rRNA from 1 species